AGGACGAACGCUGGCGGCGUGCCUAACACAUGCAAGUCGAGCGAGGAGAUCCUUCGGGAUGAUCCUAGCGGCGGACGGGUGAGUAACACGUGGGCAACCUGCCUCAUAGAGAGGAAUAGCCUUCCGAAAGGGAGAUUAAUACCUCAUAACAUUGCAGUUUCGCAUGGAACAGCAAUUAAAGGAGUAAUCCGCUAUGAGAUGGGGCCCGCGGCGCAUUAGCUAGUUGGUGAGGUAACGGCUCACCAAGGCGACGAUGCGUAGCCGACCUGAGAGGGUGAUCGGCCACAUUGGGACUGAGACACGGCCCAGACUCCUACGGGAGGCAGCAGUGGGGAAUAUUGCACAAUGGGGGAAACCCUGAUGCAAGCAACGCCGCGUGAGUGAUGACGGCCUUCGGAUUGUAAAGCUCUGUCUUCAGGGACGAUAAUGACGGUACCUGAGGAGGAAGCCACGGCUAACUACGUGCCAGCCGCCGC
rnacentral:rRNA from 1 species